CCAGCAGCCGCGGUAAUUCCAGCUCCAAUAGCGUAUAUUAAAGUUGUUGCAGUUAAAAAGCUCGUAGUUGGAUUUCUGCCGAAGACAGCCGGUCCGCCUCUGGUGUGCACCUGGUUCGGCUUUGGCAUUCUGUUGGGGAACGUGCGUGCACUUGACUGUGUGCCACGGUAUCCAGCAAUUUUACUUUGAGAAAAUUAGAGUGUUUCAAGCAGGCCUUCGCCUUGAAUACUGCAGCAUGGAAUAAUAAGAUAGGACUUUAGUCCUAGCUUGUUGGUUUCUGGGACUGAAGUAAUGAUUAAUAGGGAUAGUUGGGGGCAUUCGUAUUUAACUGGCAGAGGUGAAAUUCGUGGAUUUGUUAAAGACGAACUACUGCGAAAGCAUUUGCCAAGGAUGUUUUCA
rnacentral:rRNA from 1 species